rnacentral:miRNA from 1 species
CGGAGGGGAUUGGAGAGGCUA